GGGAACAUCCUGCUGAAGAGAAAGGUGGAGCUGAAAGUCAGAGUCUGUCAGGUGGAGGUGGAGGAGGGGGCGGAGUCUGUCCAGCUGCCCUUCAAAACCACACAAAACCUGCCUGAAGAUGCUGGAGUGAGGUGGAGAGACAGUUCAAACAACAAGGUCCAUGUGUAUGAGAACGGCUCUGACCAGCCUGAAGAACAGCACCAGGUUUACAGAAACCGAACGAAGAUGAAUGAAGACCUGCUGAAAACUGGAGACCUCAGUCUGACCCUGAAACACCCCACAGAGAGAGACAGUGGAGAAUACAGAUGUUAUGUCUGGAAUGAUAACUACGAUUUAAUAAGAUACAAAACAGUGCUUCUCAAAGUCAAAGGGAGAGUUCAGGUCCAGGAUCAAACAGGGGACAUCAGGAACAGAAGCAGCUCCAUUGAUCCGACUCCUCUGAUGGCUGAUCAAUCAGUUUGAUCUGUGUGUUCUUUGAUUAUUGGUCAGUGAUGUCAGAGUGGAGUCAGUGUGAUGUUGUUGUUGUGUGUUUGAGACUUUUAGUGUCCAUGAAGGUCUCUGCUGCCGUAGAUCCUCUGAACUGUGACAGAGGUCUCACUCUGGAGGAAACUGUCAGCACUUUCCAGCAGCUCCUCCAUCAUGGAGGACGUUCCCUCACUGUAACAGGUGGAGGAGAGAGGAGAGGAAGCACAGGUGGAUCCUCUGAGGAAGAGGAGCGUUCCUACAAACCAUAUGAUCACAUGACCAGAGGGGCGUGGCCUUCAGUGGUAGUAAUAAAGGAACAGUCCACAUGUUCCACUUUGAAGGCUCAUCUCCAACAAAGCAGACCUGUGAUCACUUUAACUCAGUAUGAUGGAUUGUUUGGAUUUGUCUUUGUUUCUCUGGCUUUUCUUGUGUGUCUGUGUGUCUUUGUGUGUUGGAUAGAGUCAUGUGACCUGCCCAGGGACUACACAUGGAAAUGAGCAGUUUAGCUCAAAUCUGGCAGGUUUCCAUCUUCUGUUUUUAUCCUGAUGUACAUGGACAUGAACACUGUCCCUGUCAAAUAAAUCCAGAUACAAAGAUCAGAUCUACUGAGCAUCAUCAGCGUGUCUGCCGCUAACUGCAUCUUCAAAUAAAUAAAUGUGUCUGAUCAGCGGUGAUAAGAGGAGAGACGCUGAGCGAGUGAAACUUUAAAAACUGACUGAAAAAAUUCUUCUUGGCUUCAUUUUUCCUUCCAGUCUGAAAAAACUUCCAUUUAAUGAUUUUGGUGAGAUGUGAGACAUUUGGAGUCAUCAAUUUAUUUGAAUUUCAGCGUUUUUAAUGAUCCACAGCAGCCCUGAAUAAACACUUGAAUUACUGUCUGAGCUGCUGCAGUUUCCUGCUGCGUCCACUGGGUGCCAGUAAAGCUGCAGGUGUCUCACCUGAGAGUCCAGCUGUGGGGAAACAGUCCAGCUGCUGGUUCUGCCUCCAGCUGAGGAAACACUUCAAUCCUUUUAUUGCUGAUCUCUCUUUAUGAAUCCACCUGAACUCGUCUGAUCCUGGAAACCUUUCACUUUCCUCAGUUUUGACACUGCAAUUCAGUGGAGGAGCUCCGAAAAACCAUGAGAGCAAUCAGAGAGAAACGCUCUACAGAGGAGAGAGAUCAUUAAAGUGUUGGAGGAGCCACUCAGUGCUGCUGCUGCUGAUGAAGCUCCUGCAUCUUCAUGUGUGUCAGAGGAAGCUUGGAGUCAUUUUUGACAAAGACAUGUCCUUCAACGCACAUAUUAAACAAAUAUGUAAGACUGCUUUCUUGUAUUUGUGCAACAUCUCUAAAAUUAGAAAUAUCCUGUCUCAGAGUGAUGCUGAAAAACUAGUUCAUGCAUUUAUUACUUCCAGGCUGGACUACUGUAAUUCAUUAUUAUCAGGGUGUCCUAAAAACUUGCUGAAAAGUCUUCAGCUAAUUCAAAAUGCUGCAGCAAGAGUACUGACAGGGACUAGAAAGAGAGAGCAUAUUUCUCCUGUUUUGGCUUCCCUUCAUUGGCUUCCUGUUAAAUCCAGAAUUGAAUUAAAAAUCC
ensembl:lncRNA